rnacentral:tRNA from 1 species
GAUGAUAUGGCCAAGUGGUUAAGGCAAUGGACUAUUAAUCCAUUGUGCUCUUCAUGUGUAGGUUCAAAUCCUACCAUUUCCA